GAUGAACGCUGGCGGCGUGCCUAAUACAUGCAAGUCGAGCGAACAGACGAGGAGCUUGCUCCUCUGACGUUAGCGGCGGACGGGUGAGUAACACGUGGAUAACCUACCUAUAAGACUGGGAUAACUUCGGGACACCGGAGCUAAUACCGGAUAAUAUAUUUCACCGCAUUGUUCAAUAGUGAAAGACGGUUUUGCUGUCACUUAUCUAUGGAUCCGCGCCGCAUUAGCUAGUUGGUAAGGUAACGGCUUACCAAGGCAAAGAUGCGUAGCCGACCUGAGAGGGUGAUCGGACACACUGGAACUGAGACACGGGCCAGACGCCUACGGGGGGAAGAAGUAGGGAAUCUGCCGCAAUGGGCGAAAGCCUGACGGAGCAACGCAGCGUGAGUGAUGAAGGUCUUAGGAUCGUAAAACUCUGUUAUUAGGGAAGAACAAAUGUGUAAGUAACUAUGCACGUAUUGACGGUACCUAAUCAGAAAGCCACGGCUAACUAAGUG
rnacentral:rRNA from 1 species